CCGUCGGGAAGCGAGCGUACACAGGUGCUGCAUGGCUGUCGUCAGCUCGUGUCGUGAGAUGGUUGGGUUAAGUCCCCGCAACGAGCGCCAACCCCUGCAUUCAGUUGCCAGUCGGGUAAUGGCCGGGCACUCUGGAAGGACUGCCAUCGACAAGAUGGAGGAAGGUGGGGAUGACGUCAAGUCAUCAUGGCCCUUAUGUCCAGGGCGACACACGUGCUACAAUGGCCGGCACAACGGGAAGCGAGUUCGCGAGGACGAGCGGAUCCCUCAAAGCCGGUCGCAGUUCGGAUUGAAGUCUGCAACUCGACUUCAUGAAGCUGGAAUCGCUAGUAAUCGUGGAUCAGCCAAGCCGCGGUGAAUACGUUCCGGCCUU
rnacentral:rRNA from 1 species